UACAGAGGGGGCAAGCGUUGUUCGGAAUUAUUGGGCGUAAAGAGCUCGUAGGCGGCUUGUCACGUCGGGUGUGAAAGCCCGGGGCUUAACCCCGGGUCUGCAUUCGAUACGGGCUGGCUAGAGUGUGGUAGGGGAGAUCGGAAUUCCUGGUGUAGCGGUGAAAUGCGCAGAUAUCAGGAGGAACACCGGUGGCGAAGGCGGAUCUCUGGGCCAUUACUGACGCUGAGGAGCGAAAGCGUGGGGAGCGAACAGG
rnacentral:rRNA from 1 species